AAGUGAGGGGGUGAAAUCUAUCGGCUCAAUCGAUAAACUGCCUUUCAAACUAUUAGGCUUGAGGAUGUAAGGGGGGAAAUGGAAUUAGCAGUGUAAGGGUGAAAUCUGUAGAUAUUGCUAAGAACACCGGCGGCGAAGGCGAUUUCCUGGUACAAUCCUGACGCUAAAUUGCGAAAGCUAGGGGAGCGANCGGAAUUAGAUACUCCGGUAGUCCUAGCCGUAAACGAUGAGGACUAGGUGUUGGACUUUAUGUUCAGUGCCGAAGCUAACGCGUUAAGUCCUCCACCUGGGGACUACGACCGCAAGGUUAAAACUCAAAGGAAUUGACGGGGACCCGCACAAGCGGUGGAACAUGUGGUUUAAUUCGAUGCUACGCGAAGAACCUCACCAAGGCUUGACAUGCUCGUCGUACUCUGCUUAAAGGCGGAGGUCAGCUUGGCUGGACGAUGCACAGGUGCUGCAUGGCUGUCGUCAGCUCGUGUCGUGAGAUGUUGGGUUAAGUCCCGCAACGAGCGCAACCAUUGCCUAAUGUUGCUACCAGACGCUAGAUCUUCGGAUCUUUGUCUGCGCACUCUUUAGGGACUGCCUGGGAUAACCAGGAGGAAGGUGGAGAUGACGUCAAGUCAGUACGGCCCUUAUGCCUUGGGCUACACACGUGUUACAAUGCCAAAUACAAAGGGUUGCCAACCCGCGAGGGGGAGCUAAUCUCAAAAAGUUUGGCCCAGUUCGGAUAGGAGUCUGCAAUUCGACUCCUUGAAGCCGGAAUCGCUAGUAAUGGAAGAGCAGCUCGCUUCCGUGAAUACGUUCCCGGGUCUUGUACACACCGCCCGUCAAGCGAUGAAAGCCGGGGGCACCCGAAGUCCUAUGUAGAUAGGCCGAAGGUGAAACUGGUGAUUGGCGCUAAGUCGUAACAAGGUACCCGAAGGGCGAAU
rnacentral:rRNA from 1 species